rnacentral:rRNA from 1 species
CCUACGGGAUGCAGCAGUGAGGAAUUUUGGUCAAUGGACGAGAGUCUGAACCCGCCAAGUAGCGUGAAGGAUGACUGCCCUAUGGGUUGUAAACUUCUUUUAUAAGGGAAUAAAACGAGGCACGUGUGCCUUUUUGCAUGUACUUUAUGACUAAGGACCGGCUAACUCCGUGCCAGCAGCCGCGGUAAUACUGAGGGUCCGAGCGUUAUCCGGAUUUAUUGGGUUUAAAGGGAGCGUAGAUGGGUUGUUAAGUCAGUUGGGAAAGUUUGCGUCUCAACCGUAAAAUUGCAAUUGAUACUGGCAGGCUUGAGUGCAGUUGAGGUAGGCGGAAUUCGUGGUGUAGCGGUGAAAUGCUUAGAUAUCACGAAGAACCCCGAUUGCGAAGGCAGCUUACUAAACUGUGACUGACAUUGAGGCUCGAAAGUGUGGGUAUCAAACAGGAUUAGAUACCCGAGUAGUC